AGUGAACGCUGGCGGCAGGCCUAACACAUGCAAGUCGAACGGCAGCACAGGAGAGCUUGCUCUCUGGGUGGCGAGUGGCGGACGGGUGAGGAAUACAUCGGAAUCUACCUUUUCGUGGGGGAAACGUAGGGAAACUUACGCUAAUACCGCAUACGACCUUCGGGUGAAAGCAGGGGACCUUCGGGCCUUGCGCGAUUAGAUGAGCCGAUGUCGGAUUAGCUAGUUGGUGAGGUAAAGGCUCACCAAGGCGACGAUCCGUAGCUGGUCUGAGAGGAUGAUCGGCCACCCUGGAACUGGGACAGGGUCCAGACUCCUACGGGAGGCAUCAGUGGGGAAUAUUGGAAAAUGGGCGCAAGCCUGGUCCAGCCAUGCCGCGGGGGUGAAGAAGGCCUUCGGGUUGUAAAGCCCUUUUGUUGGGAAAGAAAAGCAGUCGAUUAAUACCUGGUUGGGAUGACGGUACCCAAAGAAUAAGCACCGGCUAACUUCGUGCCAGCCGCCGCCGUAAUAC
rnacentral:rRNA from 1 species